CGCGGUUUUGAGAGCAGUUGGCCCUCUGUGUCUAGGAGUGAGUCGCUGAGGUUUGCGCUGCUUUAUGUCCUGUUAGUAGGUGCAAGGUGUGUGUGGGCUGGGUGAUAUGCUAUUGUCUGUGACAUUUGUUAUGUGUGAGGCACAGCUAGUCUAUAUAGUCUGGAGGAAGUGGGGCCUGUGUGAGCGGUUGUGGUCUGACUAUGUGAUCUGCAGGUUGCAGAGGCGUGUGUGGACAGACCAGUAGUGGGCUCAUGUAGGGAGGCUCCAUGGAGUGUAG